rnacentral:rRNA from 1 species
UACAGAGGUCCCGAGCGUUGUUCGGAUUCACUGGGCGUAAAGGGUGCGUAGGUGGCAUGGUAAGUUUGAUGUGAAAGCUCAGGGCUUAACCCUGAAAUGGCAUUGAAUACUACUGUGCUGGAGGUUUGGAGGGGGGACUGGAAUUCUUGGUGUAGCAGUGAAAUGCGUAGAUAUCAGGAGGAACACCAGUGGCGAAGGCGAGUCCCUGGACAACACCUGACACUGAGGCACGAAAGCCGGGGGAGCAAACAGG